GUAGGUUAUUGCCAGGGUUUUUAUUUUUAUACUUUAAACUUUGAUUUUAUUUUUAUGUUUUUUAAAUAUUGGUGUUUUUGAAUGUGUUGUUUAAAUAACAUAAAAAAUAAAAUAUAUAUUGACAUGUAUUAAACAAAGAUAUAUAUUAUUUUAUGUUGUAUAAAUAAAUUGGCAAAAUAGAGAUGGAAGAU
rnacentral:misc_RNA from 1 species